GACGAAUGCCGGUACACCAAGAAUAAGAGACGGCUAACUACGUGCCAGCAGCCGCGGUAAUACGUAGGUCUCAAGCGUUAUCCGGAUUUACUGGGCGUAAAGUAUCCGUAGCCUGAUAUGUAAGUCUGUUUUCAAAUCCCACGACUCAAUCGUGGAAAGGGAAUGGAUACUGCAUAUCUAGAAGUUAUUGGGGGUUAGUGGAAUUUCCGGUGGAGCGGUGAAAUGCGUUGAUAUCGGAAAGAACGCCGAAAGCGAAAGCAGCUAACUAUGAUUAACUUGACGGUGAGGGAUGAAAGUUUGGGUAGCAAACGGGAUUAGAUACCCCGGUAGUCCAAACUGUAAAUUAUGCUUGCUAGGUGUUUCGAUCCUUGUGGUCGGAGUGCCGUAAUCUAACGAGUUAAGCAAGUCGCCUGGGUAGUAUAUUCGCAAGAAUGAAACUCAAAGGGAUAGGCGGGGGAACACACAAGCAGUGGAUUAUCUAGAUUAAUUGGAUAAUAAGCCAAGAAUCUUACCUAGAAUUGACAUGCAUUGUGUCUCAUAUGGAAGUAUGAUAUUUGUAGCAAUACAGAGCUUUGCACAGGUGGUGCAUGGUCGUCGUCAGCUCGUGCCGCAAGGUGUCCAGUUAA
rnacentral:rRNA from 1 species